rnacentral:tRNA from 1 species
GUGCCUAGGAAUGGGAAUCGAACCCACAGUGUUCCGCUUACCGGGCAGAUGCCAUGUCCACUAGGUUACCAUGAACA